AUUUUAGUGUAAGCAUAUCCCAUGUCGCAUUUGGGGCAUACUUACACUAAUA
rnacentral:miRNA from 1 species